UCCCAGACUCCUACGGGAGGCAGCAGUGAGGAAUAUUGGUCAAUGGCCGGAAGGCUGAACCAGCCAAGCCGCGUGAGGGAGGAAGGCGCAGAGCGUCGCAGACCUCUUUUGCCGGGGGACAAAAGGCCGGACGGGUCCGGUUCUGAGGGUACCCGGAGAAAAAGCAUCGGCUAACUCCGUGCCAGCAGCCGCGGUAAUACGGAGGAUCCGAGCGUUAUCCGGAUUUAUUGGGUUUAAAGGGUGCGUAGGCGGUUUGAUAAGUUAGAGGUGAAAUGUCGGGGCUCAACCCCGAAACUGCCUCUAAUACUGUUGGACUAGAGAAUAGUUGCGGUAGGCGGAAUGUAUGGUGUAGCGGUGAAAUGCUUAGAGAUCAUACAGAACACCGAUUGCGAAGGCAGCUUACCAAACUAUAUCUGACGUUGAGGCACGAAAGCGUGGGUAGCAAACAGGAUUAGAUACCCCAGUAC
rnacentral:rRNA from 1 species